GACGAACGCUGGCGGCGUGCCUAAUACAUGCAAGUAGAACGCACAGUUUAUACCGUAGCUUGCUACACCAUAGACUGUGAGUUGCGAACGGGUGAUUAACGCGUAGGUAACCUGCCUGGUAUCGGGGGAUAACUAUUGGAAACGAUAGCUAAUACCGCAUAAUAUUAAUUAUUCCAUGAUAAUUAAUUGAAAGGUUCAAUUGCACCCCUACCAGCUGGACCUGCUUUGUAUUUGCUAGUAGGGCAGGUAACGGCUCACCUAGUCGACGAUACAUAUCCGACCUGGGAGGGUGAUCGGCCAACCUGGGACUGAGACACGGCCCAGACUCCUACCGGAGGCAGCAGUAGGGAAUCUUUGGGAAUGGACGAAAGUCUGACCGAGCAAAGCCGCGUGAGUGAAGAAGGUUUUCGGAUCGUAAAGAUCUGUUGUAAGAGAAGAACGGGUGUGGGAGUGGAAAGUUCACACUGUGACGGUAUCUUACCAGAAAGGGACGGCUAACUACGUG
rnacentral:rRNA from 1 species